rnacentral:rRNA from 1 species
UUUUCGGCAAUGGGGGAAACCCUGACCGAGCAAUGCCGCGUGAAUGAUGAAAUUCUUCGGAAUGUAAAAUUCUGUUGUGAGGGAAGAAAGGUAGUAUCAGGAAAUGGGUAUUACUUGACGGUACCUUACUAGAAAGCCCCGGCUAACUAUGUGCCAGCAGCCGCGGUAAUACAUAGGGGGCGAGCGUUAUCCGGAAUUAUUGGGCGUAAAGCGUGCGUAGGCGGCCGUUUAAGUCUGUCGUGAAAGCCCACAGCUUAACUGUGGAGGGUCGAUGGAAACUGGAUGGCUUGAAUCUAGAAGAGGUAAGUGGAAUUCCAUGUGUAGCGGUAAAAUGCUUAGAUAUAUGGAGGAACACCAGUGGCGAAGGCGGCUUACUGGUCUAGCAUUGACGCUGAGGCACGAAAGCGUAGGUAGCAAACAGGAUUAGAUACCCUGGUAGUCUACGCUGUAAACGAUGAGCACUAAGUGUCGGACGUAAGUUCGGUGCUGUAGUUAACGCAUUAAGUGCUCCGCCUGGGGAGUACGGUCGCAAGACUGAAACUCAAAGGAAUUGACGGGGACUCGCACAAGCGGUGGAGCAUGUGGUUUAAUUCGACGCAACGCGAAAAACCUUACCAGGCCUUGACAUCCCUAUGACCGCUCUAGAGAUAGAGUUUCCUCUUCGGAGGUAUAGGUGACAGGUGGUGCAUGGUUGUCGUCAGCUCGUGUCGUGAGAUGUUGGGUUAAGUCCCGCAACGAGCGCAACCCUUAUCAUUAGUUGCUAACAUUAAGUUGAGCACUCUAAUGAGACUGCCAGCGACAAGUUGGAGGAAGGUGGGGAUGACGUCAAAUCAUCAUGCCCCUUAUGGCCUGGGCUACACACGUGCUACAAUGGCCGGUACAAAGAGCAGCGAAAUUGUGAAAUGGAGCAAAUCUCAAAAAGCCGGUCUCAGUUCGGAUUGUAGUCUGCAACUCGACUACAUGAAGUUGGAAUCGCUAGUAAUCGUGGAUCAGCAUGCCACGGUGAAUACGUUCUCGAGUCUUGUACACACCGCCCGUCACACCAUGAGAGUUUGUAAUACCCGAAGCCGGUGGCUUAACCGCAAGGAGAGAGCCGUCUAAGGUAGGACAGAUGAUUGGGGUGAAGUCGUAACAAGGUAUCCCUACGAGAACGUGGG